CAAGAUUCUUCCCCUCCACACUACUCGCGCCAGACACUAAACUCAAAGGACAUCAGCCCUAUCUACUUCAACACAUCUUCCGCACACGCUAAAUACACUUGAAGGAGUUCGCACAGAACCCGUAACACGACCAGCGCAACUUUUCAGGGUCGGUUCUUGGGUGCGAGGCUCGCACACAGCCGCCCCGGCACGGCUCCACGCACAGCUCCGCCUUUCCCCACACGGCCGCUCACAAAAUGGCAGAAAACAUAAUUCUACUUCUUCAGGCCCUGAGAAAGCUCUGUCAGUUACAUACACAAACUUACAAGCAGCUCUGGGAUUCCUGAGUUACUGAAUUUAGAUUUCUCCUUGGAUUUCCUGACAGCCUUUUAGCUUUUCUCAGAUGAGCUUUUAAGCAUUUUCAAGACUUAAAGACUGGCUCACAGUGAGAAACAAAUUCCACAGUUCACAUGCUAAGCAUCCGCCAACCCCAUAUUCACAUUUUCUGCAGUGUUUUAUGUAAUCUCCUGCCUAAGUGUUGAUCAUUGUUCCUCCUUCCACCCUCUGCAUGGUGUACUGUCCCACGUGCUCCUGGAAUGUUGUGUGGCAACAAAGGCUUCUAUUGUAUGAAGCUGGGGAAACUAGCAUCUCUUGCUAGACAGUAUGCUGCUGAGAGGUUAUUAAGAUAGCUUGAUACAUCUACUAAAGGGAAAAAAUGAACAGAGGAUUCAUGACUGAAAUAAAUUUCCAAAGAGACUUAUAUUUAUUAUACUCUUAAGGAUUGAACUAUGUCUGAACCAUUAAGACCAAAACAAUAAUUGGCAUCUGGCUACUUUUGCAAAAUGAUGGCUGUUUUCUAAAGGUAAUGUAACGUAAGAAAAACUAAUACAGCUAUUAUCUGGGUGGAGAGGGACGAUACAGAGUGAAAUGAAAUUAUAAUGUAUGGGAGGGUCACAGCUCUGCAGAUAGGCCCAAACAGAUAGUUCUGCUUUGUGCUAAUAGGAAGCUGCAGCCCCUAUACCGUCCCAUCAUCAGGAGAUCUGCUCUUGUUUAGGCACAAGACCCAUGGGAUUUAAGUGUAGCUGUGACAUAGAGAAUGGAACAGGUCUUACAGAUCGGAAUUCAAAAAUGAGCAUGAUCGCACACACUUCCCAGCCGGGGAAAUUUCUGCGAGGUUAACUCUGUGCUCUGGUAGGCUACUACUGUGUUUUGGUAGGUCACUGCUGCUUUCUGCAAAACAAGGUGAUGCAAGUUCCUGGCCGCACCCACAUAAUGAAAAUCCAGUGAAACUUUUCCUCUGUGUUGAAACAUAAACGUGGAGAACCUUUCCUGGCCCAGGAGGGUGGGGUGUGGGGCUGCAUUGCGUGCAGCAGGUAGGCCAAGAUCACAGAAUUCUUCUACGAUUUGCUGUUCUCUCCUCCCACAAGUACAAACCAACCCAUAUUACUGUGCUGCUUUGAUCUUCCUCAUUCUUAUGCAUGUUGAAUAGAUUAAGUGUGGCUUUAACAAAGAAAAAAGGAAAUGGCAAUCCAUGCCUUUUGUAUAAAUUGCAAAUGUAUUACACCAAGACAAUUCUAGAACAGCGCCUUCCAACAUAACCAGAAGCUGAUCGCUCUCCCUGUGACAGAUUUACCAUUUUCAUGGUCACACAAUGUGAAAUUACUUCUCUUUACAACUGUUUCAUGUGGUUGAACUACAACUGAAAUGUACCAUUGAAGAGUGUAUAUGAAACUAAGUAAAGAUGCCUGUAUAUUCCUGUGGCUGUGGUCAAGAAUGUGGAACCCCAUUGCUUUUAGUAUUAAGUAUAUUUUUAAUUUUAAAGUGCUUGACUACAUUAAAGGCAGUGAAAGAAGUGGAUCUGCUUUAUACCCGUGUGAGAUUGCUUGGGAUGCUUGAAAUAAAUAUAUUCCUAAUGA